AUUCCGGUUGAUCCUGCCGGAGGUCAUUGCUAUCGGGGUCCGAUUUAGCCAUGCUAGUUGUACGAGCUUAGACUCGUAGCGGAUAGCUCAGUAACACGUGGCCAAACUACCCUACAGAGAACGAUAACCUCGGGAAACUGAGGCUAA
rnacentral:ncRNA from 1 species